GUCGUACGCUUCUUUUUCACCGGAGCUUGCUCCACCGGAAAAAAGAAGAGUGGCGAACGGGUGAGUAACACGUGGGUAACCUGCCCAUCAGAAGGGGAUAACACUUGGAAACAGGUGCUAAUACCGUAUAACAAUCGAAACCGCAUGGUUUUGAUUUGAAAGGCGCUUUCGGGUGUCGCUGAUGGAUGGACCCGCGGUGCAUUAGCUAGUUGGUGAGGUAACGGCUCACCAAGGCCACGAUGCAUAGCCGACCUGAGAGGGUGAUCGGCCACAUUGGGACUGAGACACGGCCCAAACUCCUACGGGAGGCAGCAGUAGGGAAUCUUCGGCAAUGGACGAAAGUCUGACCGAGCAACGCCGCGUGAGUGAAGAAGGUUUUCGGAUCGUAAAACUCUGUUGUUAGAGAAGAACAAGGAUGAGAGUAACUGUUCAUCCCUUGACGGUAUCUAACCAGAAAGCCACGGCUAACUACGUGCCAGCAGCCGCGGUAAUACGUAGGUGGCAAGCGUUGUCCGGAUUUAUUGGGCGUAAAGCGAGCGCAGGCGGUUUCUUAAGUCUGAUGUGAAAGCCCCCGGCUCAACCGGGGAGGGUCAUUGGAAACUGGGAGACUUGAGUGCAGAAGAGGAGAGUGGAAUUCCAUGUGUAGCGGUGAAAUGCGUAGAUAUAUGGAGGAACACCAGUGGCGAAGGCGGCUCUCUGGUCUGUAACUGACGCUGAGGCUCGAAAGCGUGGGGAGCAAACAGGAUUAGAUACCCUGGUAGUCCACGCCGUAAACGAUGAGUGCUAAGUGUUGGAGGGUUUCCGCCCUUCAGUGCUGCAGCUAACGCAUUAAGCACUCCGCCUGGGGAGUACGACCGCAAGGUUGAAACUCAAAGGAAUUGACGGGGGCCCGCACAAGCGGUGGAGCAUGUGGUUUAAUUCGAAGCAACGCGAAGAACCUUACCAGGUCUUGACAUCCUUUGACCACUCUAGAGAUAGAGCUUCCCCUUCGGGGGCAAAGUGACAGGUGGUGCAUGGUUGUCGUCAGCU
rnacentral:rRNA from 1 species